CGAGCGAACAGAUAAGGAGCUUGCUCCUUUGACGUUAGCGGCGGACGGGUGAGUAACACGUGGGUAACCUACCUAUAAGACUGGAAUAACUCCGGGAAACCGGGGCUAAUGCCGGAUAACAUAUAGAACCGCAUGGUUCUAUAGUGAAAGAUGGUUUUGCUAUCACUUAUAGAUGGACCCGCGCCGUAUUAGCUAGUUGGUAAGGUAAUGGCUUACCAAGGCGACGAUACGUAGCCGACCUGAGAGGGUGAUCGGCCACACUGGAACUGAGACACGGUCCAGACUCCUACGGGAGGCAGCAGUAGGGAAUCUUCCGCAAUGGGCGAAAGCCUGACGGAGCAACGCCGCGUGAGUGAUGAAGGGUUUCGGCUCGUAAAACUCUGUUAUUAGGGAAGAACAUAUGUGUAAGUAACUGUGCACAUCUUGACGGUACCUAAUCAGAAAGCCACGGCUAACUACGUGCCAGCAGCCGCGGUAAUACGUAGGUGGCAAGCGUUAUCCGGAAUUAUUGGGCGUAAAGCGCGCGUAGGCGGUUUCUUAAGUCUGAUGUGAAAGCCCACGGCUCAACCGUGGAGGGUCAUUGGAAACUGGGAAACUUGAGUGCAGAAGAGGAAAGUGGAAUUCCAUGUGUAGCGGUGAAAUGCGCAGAGAUAUGGAGGAACACCAGUGGCGAAGGCGACUUUCUGGUCUGUAACUGACGCUGAUGUGCGAAAGCGUGGGGAUCAAACAGGAUUAGAUACCCUGGUAGUCCACGCCGUAAACGAUGAGUGCUAAGUGUUAGGGGGUUUCCGCCCCUUAGUGCUGCAGCUAACGCAUUAAGCACUCCGCCUG
rnacentral:rRNA from 1 species